AGGGGAGUCAAGAUGAACAAUGUGGAGUGAGACUAUUCUAGGCAGAAGGAGGCAAAAUCUAGGGACUACAAUUUGAAACAACUGAAGAGGUGAAGCAUGAGGAAACCAGAGUCUCUGUACUCUGCAGACAGAGAUGAGAUGUGUCCAGCCAUGCUGCAGACACAUUCCUUUUGAUGUUGUCAUCACUUGUCAUCACAGAAGCCUGCUGGAUGGUAAUAACCUGCAGACACUGGCUUUAGUGUGGUCUCUCACAGUUAAUUUCAGUGGUUUUAAGACUGUCUGUAUACAAAUAUCUCCUUGAGCAGCUCCUGGAAAAUAAGUGUCAAGUCCCCUGCGACAGAAAUAAA